rnacentral:rRNA from 1 species
UGUAGAGGGGGGUAGAAUUCCAUGUGUAGCGGUGAAAUGCGUAGAGAUGUGGAGGAAUACCGGUGGCGAAGGCGGCCCCCUGGACAAAGACUGACGCUCAGGUGCGAAAGCGUGGGGAGCAAACAGGAUUAGAUACCCUGGUAGUCCACGCUGUAAACGAUGUCGAUUUAGAGGUUGUGGUCUUGAACCGUGGCUUCUGGAGCUAACGCGUUAAAUCGACCGCCUGGGGAGUACGGCCGCAAGGUUAAAACUCAAAUGAAUUGACGGGGGCCCGCACAAGCGGUGGAGCAUGUGGUUUAAUUCGAUGCAACGCGGGGGAACCUUACCUACUCUUGACAUCCAGCGAAUCCUUUAGAGAUAGAGGAGUGCCUUCGGGAACGCUGAGACAGGUGCUGCAUGGCUGUCGUCAGCUCGUGUUGUGAAAUGUUGGGUUAAGUCCCGCAACGAGCGCAACCCUUAUCCUUUGUUGCCAGCACGUGAUGGUGGGAACUCAAAGGAGACUGCCGGUGAUAAACCGGAGGAAGGUGGGGAUGACGUCAAGUCAUCAUGGCCUCUUUACGGAGUAGGGCUACACACGUGCUACAAUGGUCAGAUACAAAGAGAAGCGA